rnacentral:ribozyme from 12 species
ACGGACAGUGCAACGAGGGAAUGAAGGAGGAGAAGAGAGAAUCCGGGCUAGCUAGGCACCGAGAAAGGGGUGGGUUUGUUGUUAGCCUUUUCAGUUUCUGUCUUUUUUUUCUGUUUCUAUUUUUUUUGUUUUGUUUGCAGUAUUCUGGGU